GGCUGGGUGGCAGAUAUAUGCAGCGGUUUGCAACGCCGCCUAUGUUGGUUCGAAUCCAACCCCAGCCUCCA
rnacentral:tRNA from 1 species